GCGAACGCUGGCGGCAGGCUUAACACAUGCAAGUCGAACGCUCGUAGCAAUACGAGAGUGGCAGACGGGAGAGUAACACGUGGGAACGUGCCCUUUAGUUCGGAACAACCCAGGGAAACUUGGGCUAAUACCGGAUACGUCCGAAAGGAGAAAGAUUUAUCGCUGAAGGAUCGGCCCGCGUCUGAUUAGCUAGUUGGUGGGGUAAUGGCUCACCAAGGCGACGAUCAGUAGCUGGUCUGAGAGGAUGAUCAGCCUCAUUGGGACUGAGACACGGCCCAAACUCCUACGGGGGGCAGCAGUGGGGAAUCUUGGACAAUGGGCGCAAGCCUGAUCCAGCCAUGCCGCGUGGGUGAUGAAGGCCCUAGGGUUGUAAAGCCCUUUCGGCGGGGAAGAUAAUGACGGUACCCGCAGAAGAAGCCCCGGCUAACUUCGUGCCAGCAGCCGCGGUAAUACGAAGGGGGCUAGCGUUGCUCGGAAUCACUGGGCGUAAAGCGCACGUAGGCGGCUUUUUAAGUCAGGGGUGAAAUCCUGGAGCUCAACUCCAGAACUGCCUUUGAUACUGAGAAGCUUGAGUUCGGGAGAGGUGAGUGGAACUGCGAGUGUAGAGGUGAAAUUCGUAGAUAUUCGCAAGAACACCAGUGGCGAAGGCGGCUCACUGGCCCGAUACUGACGCUGAGGUGCGAAAGCGUGGGGAG
rnacentral:rRNA from 1 species